AACGCACCUUGCGCUCCUUGGUAUUCCGAGGAGCAUGCCUGUUUGAGUGUCAUUAAUAUAUCAACCUCUUAAGCUUUUGCUUGUUGAGUGUUGGAUGUGGGGGUCUUUUGCUGGUCUUUUCAAGAGGUCAGCUCCCCUAAAAUAUAUUAGCGGAACAAUUUGUUGACCGUUCAUUGGUGUGAUAAUUAUCUACGCUAUUGACGUGAGGCAGUUCAGCUUCUAACAGUCCAUUGACUUGGACAAUUUUCAUUAAUGUGACCUCAAAUCAGGUAGGACUACCCGCUGAACUUAA
rnacentral:misc_RNA from 1 species